CUACAGCAGCUUUAAACUGCAGUUAUUUGAAAUUUGUUUGUCUAUUCUUGUGCCAUGGGCGCUAGUGUAUCGACCUCCGAAAUAUAAUAAGGACUUCAUACAAGACUAUUCUGAAUUCUUGACAAGAAUUUUUCCAAGUUAUGACAGUAUUUUAAUUGUGGGGGAUUUUAACAUUCACGUUUGCUGCCCAAACACUCCACUGGCCAAUGACUUUUUUAAUCAGAUAGAUUCUUUUAAUCUUGUUCAGUCAGUUAACGGCCCAACAUGUGAACGUGGUCAUACUUUGGAUUUGGUCCUAUCUUGUGGCCUGUCACGUCUUGACAUUGAAAUCUGUCACAUAAUUUUUUCUGACCACAUACCUGUAGUAUUUGAGUUUCCUCUCUUAGGUCAGCCCAUCAAAUCAGAUGUGCCUAAAUACAGAUCUCAUAUGAUUAACUCAAAUACUUCAGAUCGCUUGGCUUGUUUGUAUAAAAAUUUAAAUCUUGCAUUACUUUUUUUUUUUUUUUUUUUUUUUUUUUUGCCUGUCCCGUUUGGCUCUUUUUCCAUCAGAAUUAUUGUCUAAAGGCAAAGAAAGAUGCCCAACGGAUUUACUUUACCAAAUUGACCAUCCCAGCCUUGCCAUAAUGGUCUAUUUGAUUCACCUUUUAUUGUUUAUUUUAUUUUCACUUGCUGAAUACGGGACAGACUUGACUGGGGGAAAGAAGGGGAGAAAGAAAGAGGGAAAGAGAAACAGCUGAGAAGAGGGACGGGGGAGAAGAGCAAAAAACAAAAACCAACAGAACGGGCAGAAAAAAGAAAAAGAAAAUGCAUAUAUCGAUCACCUGGAUCACCUGUUGAGAAAGAAAAAGGAAAACAAGCAGAAGAGAACAAGAGUAAUAGAAUAAACAACAUCACAAUGAUAUAUGGGAAUAUAACAGUAAAUACUAAAUAUUAAACAUUAUUGUGCAGCACAUAAGAUCAACAGAACACAGUGUGCUUUGAGGUAGGAGCCAUAAAGGGUGUAGUUUGUGUGUGUGAGCACCCGUGUGUACACCUGUGAGCAUGGACGCGCUUGUUUUUUUAAAAGGUUCCUUCAUGUAAUGAUCUGCUAGAGGGUGUGGGGGGGCCACAGCCCCGUCCCCCAGGGCAUGAAGCAGGUAUGGAGGAGAUCAAAACUCCAGACAUCCAGAGGCCCUCAGAACACAAGAAACCAAGGAAGACCAACAGAGGGGCAGCUGCGCCACUGUCCCAGAAAGAGCUGAGGAGAGUCCCGGAUGAGGGCUCACUCAGCAGCCGCGGAGCAGAAGCCAGGGGGAGUUGCAGUGACGCGCCCGUGAGCUCCGCUGGCAGCCAGCUGUGCCUGAGUGACCGAGCACCCCACCUCCGAAGUGGCCUGAGCGAGC
ensembl:lncRNA